AUGCAGUCGAACGCGAAAGUUCCCUUCGGGGAGCGAGUAGAGUGGCGCACGGGUGAGUAACACGUAGGUAAUCUACCUUUGGAUUGGGAAUAACAACCGGAAACGGUUGCUAAUACCGAAUAAUGCAGCGGCACCUAAUGGUGACAGUUGUUAAAGCGGGGGAUCGCAAGACCUCGCGUCUAAAGAGGAGCCUGCGGCGGAUUAGCUAGUUGGUAAGGUAAUGGCUUACCAAGGCUAUGAUCCGUAGCCGGCCUGAGAGGGCGGUCGGCCACACUGACACUGACAUACGGGUCAGACUCCUACGGGAGGCAGCAGUCGGGAAUUUUGGGCAAUGGGCGAAAGCCUGACCCAGCAACGCCGCGUGAAGGAUGAAAUCCUUCGGGAUGUAAACUUCGCAAGAACGGGAAGAAUAAGUAAGAGCUAACAUCUCUUAUGAUGACGGUACUUUUUGUAAGCUCCGGCUAACUCCGUGCCAGCAGCCGCGGUAAUACGGGGGGAGCAAGCGUUGUUCGGAUUUACUGGGCGUAAAGGGCGCGUAGGCGGCCACCGCAAGUCGAUUGUGAAAUCUCCGGGCUUAACCCGGAAAGGUCAACCGAUACUGCGGGGCUAGAGUGCAGAAGGGGCAACUGGAAUUCUCGGUGUAGCGGUGAAAUGCGUAGAUUUCGAGAGGAACACCUGCGGCGAAGGCGGGUUGCUGGGCUGACACUGACGCUGAAGUGCGAAAGCUAGGGGAGCGAACGGGAUUAGAUACCCCGGUAGUCCUAGCCUUAAACGAUGAAUGCUUGGUGUCUGGGGUUUUAUAGUCCCCGGGUGCCGUCGCUAACGCUUUAAGCAUUCCGCCUGGGGAGUACGGUCGCAAGACUGAAACUCAAAGGAAUUGACGGGGACCGCACAAGCGGUGGAGCAUGUG
rnacentral:rRNA from 1 species